rnacentral:tRNA from 1 species
GCCUCGGUGGUGUAGGUAGCGGUCAAGAUGCUUGGCUGGUAAUCAGGAGAACCUGGUUUCAAUCCCGGCCGAGGUA